ensembl:snRNA LOC120093379 U1 spliceosomal RNA
GACCUAACCUAGCAGUGGAGAUAACACAAUCACCAAGGUGGUUUUCCCAGGGCGAGGCUUAUCCAUUGCACUCAGGAUGAGCUGACCCCUUCGAUUUCCCCAAAUGUGGGAAACUGGCCUGACAAAUUGAGUAAAGAGUUCUGAUUUGUUGUGUUUGAAU